UACACUCCUACGGGAGGCAGCAGUGGGGAAUUUUGGACAAUGGGCGAAAGCCUGAUCCAGCAAUGCCGCGUGAGUGAAGAAGGCCUUCGGGUUGUAAAGCUCUUUUGUCAGGGAAGAAACGGUGAAAGCUAAUAUCUUUUGCUAAUGACGGUACCUGAAGAAUAAGCACCGGCUAACUACGUGCCAGCAGCCGCGGUAAUACGUAGGGUGCAAGCGUUAAUCGGAAUUACUGGGCGUAAAGCGUGCGCAGGCGGUUUUGUAAGUCUGAUGUGAAAUCCCCGGGCUCAACCUGGGAAUUGCAUUGGAGACUGCAAGGCUAGAAUCUGGCAGAGGGGGGUAGAAUUCCACGUGUAGCAGUGAAAUGCGUAGAUAUGUGGAGGAACACCGAUGGCGAAGGCAGCCCCCUGGGUCAAGAUUGACGCUCAUGCACGAAAGCGUGGGGAGCAAACAGGAUUAGAAACCCGGGUAGUCCCAU
rnacentral:rRNA from 1 species